UGGGGAAUUUUGGACAAUGGGCGAAAGCCUGAUCCAGCAAUGCCGCGUGUGUGAAGAAGGCCUUCGGGUUGUAAAGCACUUUUGUCCGGAAAGAAAUGGCUCUGGUUAAUACCUGGGGUCGAUGACGGUACCGGAAGAAUAAGGACCGGCUAACUACGUGCCAGCAGCCGCGGUACUACGUAGGGUCCAAGCGUUAAUCGGAAUUACUGGGCGUAAAGCGUGCGCAGGCGGUUGUGCAAGACCGAUGUGAAAUCCCCGAGCUUAACUUGGGAAUUGCAUUGGUGACUGCAAGGCUAGAGUGUGUCAGAGGGGGGUAGAAUUCCACGUGUAGCAGUGAAAUGCGUAGAGAUGUGGAGGAAUACCAAUGGCGAAGGCAGCCACCUGGGAUAACACUGACGCUCAUGCACGAAAGCGUGGGGAGCAAACAGG
rnacentral:rRNA from 1 species